AGAAGAAGAAGAAAAAGAUGGACCGAAAUAAGUAAAAUUAUAAGUCUAAACGUACGAUAGGAAAAGCUUGCCAACGCCAAGUUCAAAAAUGAUUUCUACGAGAGUAGAUCGCAAUGAAAUAUAUAAGUAGCGAAUCUUCUCUAAAACUCCAUCCAUAAACAGAAGAAUUUUUACCUGAAAUAAUCGGCUAUACAUAAGCACGAAGAUAUUUUACUCAUACGGUAAUAACGCAAUUACGAAGUAAAGGUCGAGUCGUUUGACACGAUGAUCUUUCGGAGUAAUGCACAACGAUCGAUGAUGCGCCGCUCCUUAUUAACGAAGUCAUCGUAAACGAGAGACUUACCGAAGGGGCUGGCGCCAACCAGCUUGGAGUUUGAGCGCGUGGCCGUUCCACCAACAAUAAGCCCUCUGCUUUAUUAAACCAACACAAAUUGACCGAUUGUGCCUCCUCGAAGCACAAGUGUUCAGGGGGAUGAGAGGGUGCGGAUGGGGCCGAGGAUGGGGCCGAGGAUGGGGCCGAGGAUGGGGCCG